rnacentral:lncRNA from 10 species
ACAGUCCACCUUCAUCCACUGCAGAAGGUUGCUCCGGCUUUUCCAGUGAAUCUAGGAAAAUUAGGGCUGGCAUUGAACUCAUCCAGUGUCACUCUAGAACCCAGCUGCAAUCCACGCUAGGCUGCCUGUUCAGGACCCCAGGGGGGUUCCAAUGCUUCCCUUUGGUGUCCCAGGUUCUCGGUGCUCGCCAUCUCCCCAAACUUGGACGAAGUAUUGCCUGUCCCUUUGUAGAAGUGGAGAUCUGUGGAGCCGAGUAUGACAACAACAAGUUCAAGACGACGGUUGUGAAUGAUAAUGGCCUCAGCCCUAUCUGGGCUCCAACACAGGAGAAGGUGACAUUUGAAAUUUAUGACCCAAACCUGGCAUUUCUGCGCUUUGUGGUUUAUGAAGAAGAUAUGUUCAGCGAUCCCAACUUUCUUGCUCAUGCCACUUACCCCAUUAAAGCAGUCAAAUCAGGAUUCAGGUCCGUUCCUCUGAAGAAUGGGUACAGCGAGGACAUAGAGCUGGCUUCCCUCCUGGUUUUCUGUGAGAUGCGGCCAGUCCUGGAGAGCGAAGAGGAACUUUACUCCUCCUGUCGCCAG